rnacentral:rRNA from 1 species
GCNUGCAGUCGAACGAGAACGUACCUUCGGGUACUAGUAAAGUGGCGAAAGGGUUANUAAUACAUGAAUAACCUGCCCUUCAGUCGGGGAUAACUCGGUGAAAAUCGAACUAAUACCCGAUGAUAUCUUUAUCUUCGGAUUAAAGAUCAAACGGUGCUCUUAGGAGUUCUGCUGAAGGAGGGGUUCAUGGCCUACUAGUUUGUUGGUGGGGUAAAGGCCUACCAAGACGAUGAUGGGUAGCCGGACUGAGAGGUCGAUCGGCAACACUGGAACUGAGACACUGUCCAGACUCCUACGGGAGGCUGCAGUCGAGAAUCUUCUGCAAUGCGCGAAAGCGUGACAGAGCGACGCCGCGUGUGGGAUGAAGGCCUACGGGUUGUAAACCACUGUCAGGGGCUAUGAAAUGGUAGCUACAAACUACCUUGACGUUAACCCCAAAGGAAGNCNUGGCUAACUUCGUGCCAGCAGCCGCGGUAAUACGAAGGUGGCAAGCGUUAUUCGGAAUCACUGGGCAUAAAGGGCCUGCAGGCGGCCUAUUAAGUUGAUAUGUGAAAGCCCUCGGCUUAACCGAGGAAUUGCAUUCAAAACUGGUAGGCUAGAGUGUUGGAGGGGUAAGUGGAAUUCUUGGUGGAGCGGUGGAAUGCGUAGAUAUCAAGAGGANCGCCGGANGCGAAAGCGACUUACUGGACAACUACUGACGCUGAGGGGCGAAAGCUAGGGGAGCAAACGGGAUUAGAUACCCCGGUAGUCCUAGCCGCUAACUAUGAGCACUANGCNAUGGACGUUCCNAUACGAUCGUCGCUGUAGAUAAUUUGNUAAGUNNUCCGCCNGGGGAGUAUNANCGCAAGCUUGAAACUCAA